CCUACGGGUGGCAGCAGUGAGGAAUAUUGGUCAAUGGCCGGAAGCCUGAACCAGCCAUGCCGCGUGAAGGUCAGUGGCCUAUGGGCGUUAAACUUCUUUUGUUCGGGAGCAAUAAUGGUCACGUGUGGCCAGACGAGAGUACCGUACUAAUAAGCAUCGGCUAACUCCGUGCCAGCAGCCGCGGUAAUACGGGGGAUGCAAGCGUUAUCCGGAUUUAUUGGGGUUAAAGGUUGCGUAGGCUGGGAGGUAAGUCAGCGGUGAAAUGCCCCCGCUCAACGGGGUGAGGUGCAAUUGAUACGGGCUUGCUGGAGUGCGGAUGCGGUAGGAGGAAUGUGUGGUGUAGCGGUGAAAUG
rnacentral:rRNA from 1 species